rnacentral:lncRNA from 1 species
CCCCAGAGCCCUCUUGCUAUACUCACUGCCCUCCUCUGCAGAAGCCAUAGAGAGGAGGGGAGGGAGGGAGGGACCAGGGCCAUCUAGACAAUCAGCAUUGGAUGGGUGCUGGGAGCCUCUUCACAUUUUUGAGCCUCUCUUUAAUCUUAGGUUGAAUUUGACCAGUUCAGCCCCAGAAUCUUCUGGGACUCCUGGCCCAGGUGGGGAAUUUGAGCUUCUCCACCCGAGGAGGAGCUGUGCAGAGCCACUGGGAGCCGGUGAGGAGCAGCCGCUGCAGCCACGGGCAUGUGGUGUCAGGAUGUGCCAAUCGGAAAACCGCCCAUUCACAAUCCGGAACCAAGAAAAUGCCAUUCUCAUCAUUCUGGAAUUCAGAAAAGAAGAAAAUGGUAAAUGAACUUGAAGCCAUUCAAGAAACCAGUCCAGAAAACCAACAAGUGAAAAAGGUUGACGUGUUUCUUUUAUUUCUUACUAUAGAAGAAUGUUUCCUGUGACCUGAUGUGUAAAUGACUUUCAUGUAAGUCGCCUCUUUGCUAUCAUUCCUUAAAUGUCUCGUGCCAAUUUGUAAGUUCACUGGAUCCCAGAUAAGUUUUUCUGAAUUUCUGAUGUGAUUUUCUAUGUCAAUUACAGAUCCCUGCAAAAUGUUAUGCAUGCAGGGAUCUUUAUCUAAUCCAGCCCACAGGUCUUCUAAUUAGUUUGUUUUGACCUUUCAAGGUACAUAUUUUGUUGGUCAAACCUAUACCGAUACAUGAUGUGCAUCCAAACCGUAGUUUUGAGAACCGAGAGUUUGUUCACUGAU